CUGGCUCAGGACGAACGCUGGCGGCGUGCCUAAUACAUGCAAGUCGAGCGAAUCAACAGGAGCUUGCUCCUGUUGGUUAGCGGCGGACGGGUGAGUAACACGUGGGCAACCUGCCUGUAAGACUGGGAUAACACCGGGAAACCGGUGCUAAUACCGGAUAAUCCUUUUCCUCUCAUGAGGAAAAGCUGAAAGUCGGUUUCGGCUGACACUUACAGAUGGGCCCGCGGCGCAUUAGCUAGUUGGUGAGGUAACGGCUCACCAAGGCGACGAUGCGUAGCCGACCUGAGAGGGUGAUCGGCCACACUGGGACUGAGACACGGCCCAGACUCCUACGGGAGGCAGCAGUAGGGAAUCUUCCACAAUGGACGAAAGUCUGAUGGAGCAACGCCGCGUGAGC
rnacentral:rRNA from 1 species